CGGAGGUGCAGCCGCCUCUGCCCCCAGCACUCAGUAGGGGCCCCGGCGCCCGCACAGCACGGAGACCUGCCCGUCACACGGCUCCACGAGAAGGCCCCUCCGCGUUCCGAACGUCCCCCUCCCCGACGGUGAGCGCCCACCUGACACCACCUCGCUGCACUCCGCUCCCCGCCGCGGCCAAGCCCAUCCCUCCCGCCCAGCUGCGCGGCAGAGAAUAGAGCCCGCCGGAACACGCAGCCCUCCGCUGGAGUUCCGCGCACCUUGGCGGAAGGCAGUCAGAGUCCUUCCCCGAGCUCUCCGGAACACGUCCCCAACCGCCGCCAUAACGCUCAUCGCCGCGAACCGUCGCCUCGUUCCAGACCGCCGAGAGAAAGGUGCAGUCUGUAUAAAUAUCCCAACACUGCCAUAGGAAUAUGUGAUUGUGGUCUAAUGCUGGAGCAGCUCCUGCUAAGAGGAGCAAUUGGUUCCCAUAAUUGCUGUAACAGGAGAGCAUUCCUAGUAGAUGUUAUCUUUUGGACGGCCUGGCAUCUGACACCCCUCCUAUUUUUCUCCCUCAAACAGCACUUUUCAAAUAUCUUUUACAAAGACAACAUAGUCCAGUG
rnacentral:lncRNA from 1 species